GGAGAAGAGCAGAAGACAGGUCCUUGAGAAGGGAGAGUGUGACACACUGUCAUGUCUGCGACAGCAGCAGCAGCAGAAAAAAAAGAAGGUGCAGUGGUAUGUAGGCUAUCCGACCUGUUCUCUCCCUCCUUCUCCUGGUUACCGUGGUUACGACCCCCUGACUGCCAGAGCAUCAGCACCUUGGCUUUAGACUGCUUACUGCUU